GCUCACCGGAACCUCCGCCUCCCAGGUUCAAGUGAUUCUGCUGUCGCAGUCUCCCCUGAGUAGCUGAGAUUACAGGAGCAUAGAUCAAUGGAACAGAAGAGAGAACCGAGAAAUAAGGCCACACACCUAAGACCAUCUGAUCUUGGACAAAGCUGACAAAAAUAAGUAAUGGGGAAAAGACUCCCUAUCCAGUAGAUGGUGCUGGGAUAACUGACUAGCCAUAUGCAGAAGAUUGAGGCUAGACCCCUUCCCCACACCAUAUACAGAAAUCAACUCUAGAUGCUUAAACACUUAAAUGUGAAACCCAAAACUAUAAAAACCCUAGAAGACAACAUAGGCAAUACCAUUUUGGACAUAAGAACAGGCAAAGAUUGCACGGCAAAGAUAAAAAAGGUAAUUGCAACAAAAGCAAAAAUUGACAAAUGGGAUCUAAUUAAACUAAAGAGCAUCUAUACAGCAAAGGAAACUAUCAACAGAGUAAAGAGACAACCUACAGAAUGGAGGAAAAUGUUUGCAAACUGUGAAUUUGACAAAGGUCUAAUUUCCAGCAUCCAUAAGGAACUUGAACAAAUUUCAUGGACUAUUUUAAAAAGUGUGUCAUUAAUAUAAAACUAUUUAUAUUAGCAGUAUUUAAUCAUUAACACCUGUAAAGAAAAAGAAAAAUAGAAGGUAAAUGUUCUUACUGAGAUAGCAGAGCUUUAAGAUUCAUUUUCAUUUUAAGUUUUAUUUUUCCAGUGUAUUAACAUUCAGAGGUCUGUUAUACUAACAUUAAUUAUUAAUGUUUUCAUUUCCAUAAUAGUUAAGAGCUUUUUCAAGCACUCAUGUCUGUAAAAAAUAUUUUAAAGUUUUUUUUUGUCGUAGCAGGAAAAAAAUAGAAAAAUAUAGUUUGUUCUUUUUAAUUGCUGAGUAGUAUUCCAUGGUAAGAUGUACCAUAGUUUCCUUGACCGUUCAAACAUUGAAGGACAUUUGGACUGUUUCCAGUUUCUGGCUAUUAUAAAUAAAGCUAUGAACAUUCG
rnacentral:lncRNA from 10 species